UACGGAGGGGGCUAGCGUUGUUCGGAAUUACUGGGCGUAAAGCGCACGUAGGCGGCUUUGUAAGUUAGAGGUGAAAGCCCAGGGCUUAACCCUGGAAUUGCCUUUAAGACUGCAUCGCUAGAAUCGUGGAGAGGUGAGUGGAAUUCCGAGUGUAGAGGUGAAAUUCGAUAGAUAUUCGGAAGAACACCAGUGGCGAAGGCGACUCACUGGACACGUAUUGACGCUGAGGUGGCGAAAGCGUGGGGAGCAAACAGG
rnacentral:rRNA from 1 species